rnacentral:rRNA from 1 species
UACGGAGGAUCCAAGCGUUAUCCGGAUUUAUUGGGUUUAAAGGGUGCGUAGGCGGCCUAUUAAGUCAGGGGUGAAAGACGGUAGCUUAACUGUCGCAGUGCCUUUGAUACUGAUGAACUUGAAUGUACUAGAAGUAGGCGGAAUGUGACAAGUAGCGGUGAAAUGCAUAGAUAUGUCACAGAACACCGAUUGCGAAGGCAGCUUACUAUGGUAUGAUUGACGCUGAGGCACGAAAGCGUGGGGAUCAAACAGG